UAGGGAAUCUUCCGCAAUGGACGCAAGUCUGACGGAGCAACGCCGCGUGAGUGAAGAAGGAUUUCGGUUCGUAAAACUCUGUUGUUAGAGAAGAACAGCGCAUAGAGUAACUGUUAUGCGUGUGACGGUAUCUAACCAGAAAGCCACGGCUAACUACGUGCCAGCAGCCGCGGUAAUACGUAGGUGGCAAGCGUUGUCCGGAUUUAUUGGGCGUAAAGCGAGCGCAGGCGGUCAAUUAAGUCUGAUGUGAAAGCCCCCGGCUCAACCGGGGAGGGUCAUUGGAAACUGGUUGACUUGAGUGCAGAAGAGGAGAGUGGAAUUCCAUGUGUAGCGGUGAAAUGCGUAGAUAUAUGGAGGAACAACAGUGGCGAAGGCGACUCUCUGGUCUGUAACUGACGCUGAGGCUCGAAAGCGUGGGUAGCAAACAGG
rnacentral:rRNA from 1 species